CACCAGCGUCACAAGUGGGGACCACAUUUAUUGGGCCUAAAGCGUCCGUAGCCGGCUUAGUAAAUCUUCUGUGAAAUCAUUGGGCUUAACUCAAUGACGUGCAGAGGACACUGCUAAACUAGGAACCGGGAGGAGUCAGAGGUAUUCUGGGGGGCGCGGUAAAAUGCGAUAAUCCUCAGAGGACCACCCGUGGCGGAGGCGUCUGACUAGAACGGGUUCGACGGUGAGGGACGAAAGCCAGGGGAGCAAACCG
rnacentral:rRNA from 1 species